rnacentral:lncRNA from 1 species
GGGAGGGCGAGGGGGAGGGGGGUGAUGAUCCUGGAGAAAAAAAAAUGCGUUCUUCAUUUUGUUGCUGAUUAUUUGUAAAUAAGUAAACAAGGAGUUUUAGACUGGUUCAGAUAGAGAAUUUUUGGGUAUUUUUGACAUUGGAUUGUGUGGAGGUUUAAGAUUUUCGAUCGCAUAUGUUGGAUAGAAUAUAUUUAAGGUCACAUUCGGUUGAAAAUGAUGCUUUGUCUAAUGUAAGCAUUCAAGAAACUGUUAUUCGAAUUGUACCAAAUACCAAUCCAACUCUUGUAAUUGCCAUAAAAACUUUUAAAAUUAGAUUUUUGAUUUCAUAAAAAUGAA